CAGCAGCAGCAGCAGCAGCAGAGACAAGCAGAGGCAGCGGCAAGUUUUAUGAAUGAAUGAAUGCAACUGCAGCGACGGCAAUGGACGGACUCUGCAGUUGCCUGGGAGCUGCUGCUGCUGCUGCAUUUUGGCUUGUGAAUGGCAAACGUUCGAUCGAACUAUUGUAAUUACUACGAGACUAUGCAAAAUGCAUAUGCAAUUAGUUGCUGCAGCUCGCUGUGCCCCAGCCUCCCACUGUCUGAGUCAUGGGGCAACUGGUUUGACUUGGCCUGAGAACAAGUACAAGUCGGAGUCGGAGUCUGAGUACUCGUCUGAGUACUUGCUGCAGAUGCUAUGAACUCAUUCGAUUGGAAUGUCCACUGAUGACGAACUGCGGAGGAACUCUUGUGCAAUUGCCUCCGCUAACCUGUUUUGCCUGCCACUUGGGGAUGUAUCUUGGAUGGGUAAUUGCAGCAGUAUCUGCCAGUUGUAGAUUUAAUAUUCGUUUCUUUCAGUUACAGCUGUGGAGCCCCCCCACCCCACACUCAGAUUCCUCUAGCACCUCUUCACGCUUGUGCGACACAAGCCUGAAAAUUCCAAUUCCAGUUCCAGUGCCAUUCAAUGCCUUUUGUAAGCCAAGCCGUGAGGCGGGUAGAGAUGAGUUCAAUAAUGAAACGACGCCGAAUGCCAUCAAUAUGGAAAAGAAUAUAAAUUUGUGGCCUAUCAGUGCCGGAGUUUGGGGCGGGGGAUAGCCCUACAACUGAUAAUAAUGUCGCCUGCGAGAAAUUCCUUUAGCGGCAUUUAAGGC
rnacentral:lncRNA from 1 species